AAAAAGGCAAUGUUUUGCAGCAAAGGCCGCUACCCUUCGUAACCUCAGUUGAAAUCCGAGGCUUUCUC
rnacentral:tRNA from 1 species